UUUUGGAGUAGUUUCCGAUCCACUUGGUGUUCACAUAUGCAUUCAAACUGAACCAGAGUUCACUUCAACCAAAUCCAGACCUAUAGCUAGCUGGCUUUUUCCAUCAAAGCGGAUCAGAGUUCACUUUUUUCAGAGUUCCUCAACCAAACCGGACUUUCUAGGCAAACGGACUGGAGUUGGAUUAAAGCGGAUUAAACAGAGCUGGUGGAAACGCAUCUUUAGUUUAAGCAUUUUUCAUUCAAAACACACAAAAAUGUCUGAACAUUAUGAGGUAAAGCAAUCCAAAAUGAAACUAAACAGUAACCGAAAACUGUUGGCGUCUGCAGCCGUGUAAACGCCAAGAUGAGUCAAGUGGAAACAUAUUGGAGGUAAAGUGAGUGAAGAAAGAUAAUAUUUUACCAACAACACAAUAACAUUAUGCCAAGUAGAUUGGAAAGUGCAGGGAAGAAGACAAACUCCAGCAGAAGUGUUUAUUUAUAACACAAAUUCUCAUUCAGUGCUUGUUUUAUUUUUACCGCAGUCGUUCGCGGCGCAUGUUUUAAACCAGCGUGGAGUGAGAAGCAGCCGUGAAGCCUGCUAACUCAGCCGCGUCCCCACAUAUCCUUUCCAGAUGCUGGCUAGACUGGCUGGAGCCGGGGCCCACUGCACCGGGGGCCGGAUCGUCUUUUCCUCCAGGUGUGAUGCCUCACGCUGAUUCCCCCCACAUGCUGCAGUGGCCUAAUCCAAACACAGGGGAUGGUGACAGCGCUAGGCCUCCGCCAGCCACCCACACCGCCGCAGCGUCUCAUCACAACACUUCCUCCUUCGACUCGGCGUAACGAACGAACGCCACUGAGGCUGGAGCCCAUCAGCUGUUGCUUUAGGAACUGAAUCGCAUCUAAACUGGUGGUUCUCUAGGCCUGGUCAGUUUAAGACAACCAGAGGCAACAGCAGAGUAGCCAAACAUUAUACUGAGGUUUGUACAGACUGACGUGGCUCCUGCCAGUGAGCGAGUCGACUGUCAUAACUUCUCCCUAUGAGUCGACGCCAUGUAAAUGAUUUCCUGAUGUUUGAACCAAAGCUGCUGUGAUUAGACGCACUGGAUCAAGGCUUCAGCCCGGACAGAUUGGGAAGCCGUUAUGGCGGCACAGAAGUUGAGGGAGAAGCUAUUUAUCCCAGACGGAUCAGGAGGUGUGUGACGGAGGUGUGGACGGUUGCUGCAGGUCAGUGACGUUGGCAGGCGCCAGGCAGGCCGGCCCACAUGGCUCGGGGACUGUGGGACUACAGACAGAUGGCACCUGGUGGGUGACAAACAAUUAACAAACCAACAAGAAUAGCUGGAUCGGCACUAUACCCACAAGCGCAGGAGAUAGCUAGAGAGCGGGUGCAUCUGUGCUCCGAACACUUCUGCUCUUUACUUUUUCUCUCCCCGAGACUUGUUUUGUAUAACAGUUGCAAUUUAACCAUGUGUCUUUCUCACAAAAACACCCUCGUCGUUGUGUUGCUUUAGAACGGUCUAAAUAAAGCAGUGCUGAGCAUAUGCAA